UGGGGAAUUUUGGACAAUGGGCGAAAGCCUGAUGCAGCAAUGCCGCGUGUGUGAAGAAGGCCUUCGGGUUGUAAAGCACUUUUGUCCGGAAAGAAAUGGCUCUGGUUAAUACCUGGGGUCGAUGACGGUACCGGAAGAAUAAGGACCGGCUAACUACGUGCCAGCAGCCGCGGUAAUACGUAGGGUUCAAGCGUUAAUCGGAAUUACUGGGCGUAAAGCGUGCGCAGGCGGUUGUGCAAGACCGAUGUGAAAUCCCCGAGCUUAACUUGGGAAUUGCAUUGGUGACUGCACGGCUAGAGUGUGUCAGAGGGGGGUAGAAUUCCACGUGUAGCAGUGAAAUGCGUAGAGAUGUGGAGGAAUACCGAUGACGAAGGCAGCCCCCUGGGAUAACACUGACACUCAUGCACGAAAGCGUGGGGAGCAAACAGG
rnacentral:rRNA from 1 species